GAUCAGAUGGCCGAGCGGUCUAAGGCGCCAGCUUCAGGCCCGUUACGGUCGGUGUAAAUGCUGGUUCUUUCGAGAGCGUGGGUUCGAAUCCCACUCUGGUCA
rnacentral:tRNA from 1 species